GGUGGUGGCAGUGCCCUGUUGGGGGCUGUGACAGAGAGCAGGACGGACUCCUCAGCAGGGUCUGUGUGAUAGGACAAGUGGGAAUGGUUUCGGGGAGGAAAAUUUAGACUGGAUGGAUGGAAAAAGUUGAUUGCAGUCGUGGCAGUGAGGCACUGGCACAGGUUCCCCAGUGGCAUCCCGUUGGGUGGCAGCAGCACCCCUUUGGGUGACAUCCGUUGGGUGGCAGCCCAUGAUUUCCCAUGGGACGGAGUCGAUCUGGACGUGCUGAUGGAGAUGCCCAUGAGGUCGGACAGCCCUUCGAUGCUCUUUGCUUGCUCUGCGUGACCCAAACCACAUCUCUCACCCUCCCCAACCUCUGAUGUAAGCAUGGAGGAGCAGAUCCGGAACAGCCACGUAUUUCUGGUUACUUCUAACAACUUUUUCUUUCCUUUUCCUAUAGGGCCCGUUAGUGUUCCUUCAGAAAGAAAGGAGCACGAGGCCAGAAGCAUGAAUUAAAGCAAGAAGUGGGGUCGCAGUUGUAGGAUCGCGGUGCCCCCCGAGCCCACACGGCUCUUUGAGCCGCAUCCCCGCUGCCCCCUCCCCUUCCCCCUCUCCCCCCCCAUCGUCUUUGUGUUUUUCCUGCAACCACCGCCUCCAUCCCCAUGGAAACUCUGGGGCCACCCCCCCCGGGCGGAAAGGGCAGGACGAGAGGGGACAAAGGGAGACGGGACGGAGAGGGAGAGGGGGGUGGAAUACCGGAGAAAAGGCAGAAAGAGCGGGGGGAGAAAUGGGGCAAAAGUUGGAGGGAGAAGGGGAGAGGAUGGGGAAAGGGUUUGGGGAGCCCGGAGGUGGAAAAAAAAGAAGAAAAAAAACUUGUUUUUCUUUUCUACUUUCAUUUUCCUGAAACACGGGAGAAAGUCCCGAAGUGUUGGGAGGAGACGGCGGAACUGAGAGCAUCGGGCUGAGAGCGAGUUUCUUUGUUCUUCACCGUGACAAGCAGAGCUUUCUUCCUUAUUGUCACUGUUUGGCUUCGUAAGCGGAAUCUUCUUUCAUCUUUUCCCCUGCGAUGAGGAUGCUGCGACGAUGCUCUGGGAGAAGCAGCGAUUCACUCUGCUCCAGGAUUUAGCUCUGCCCUCAGCUGAGCCACAGAUGCUGCGGAGAGGUUGCCAGGGAUGCAGACACAAUCCUACCUCCAGGUUUUUGCUGCAUCCCCGCUGCCGAGCGAGAUAUGGAUCAUACCCGGGAUUAUCGCCCAUCCGACUGGGAGGAAGGGAUGCUGAGAUGUCGGGUUGCAAGGGAGAUGGAUCUGGGCGCCAGGUUUUCGUGCCGUCUCGGUGCCGUGGGGUGGGAGUGGGGUGUGGGGACCCCCCCAGUGAUGCGGGGUGCGGGAUUUUUCAGUUCUGGUGCCGCUGCUGUGCUCACGGUGAGGUCUCUGUGGCGCAAUGGACGAGCGCGCUGGACUUCUAAUCCAGAGGUUCCGGGUUCGAGUCCCGGCAGAGAUGAUCUCCAGGCAGGUGUCUCUUUUAUUUUACGUGUAUUCCUCCAUAAAUCCCCAUCCUGCUCCUUUACGACACCCCAGAAGGCUUCAGGCGGGAGAUGAUGACUUUUCACGGCGGCGUCUCGGCCGCUGACGCUCGCAGUGCUCGCGUGCUCCCAUCCAAGGUGCGUUUCCUCCACCAUGUUCCCCUUCCCUCGUUCUUUUCGGUAGCUCCUGGGUGCUUUGAUGUUUUAACCCUGUUUGUUCCCCCCAGUUCUGCUUGUUGGACCUGUCUGAUGCUUUAAGAAAACUGCUGUGUUUCCAGUAGAAAUCCGGUGGUCAGGCAGUGGUUUGGAACCUUGUAAAUCUUCUGCAAAUGCCCCUGUUUUUUCAUGUUUUCAUGUUGAUGAUGCACGUUUGCUAGCAGCCACCUCCAUAUCCCCACGGAGGUUCAUCUUUGUAAGUAGCAAACAUUGACGAAAGACAAAGAUCCUGACCCUGCAGUAGAGCUUCUUCCCCCUCUGUGACCUUUGAAGACUUUUCUCCACUUGAAAAGUGGGUUUCUUUCCAUUGGUGUCAGCCUAGAAUCUCCUUCUGGGAUGGCUAAAAAAAAAAAGUCCAAAGAAAUAAUGUGUGUGACCUCAGGGGCUGGAUGUGGAUGGAGCCCAAAACAGUGGGGAGGGAGGGCAGCAAAAGCCUUACAUGAGAAGGGUCCAUCACAAUCCCAUUCCUCUGGAUGGAGGGGGCAAAAAAAAUAUGAAUGCCAGAGCCCCGGCUCCAUGUCCAGCAACUCCAUCACCCUGAGCAUCUCCUAUGGUGAGUGCUGAGAACUGCUCUGUGCUGUCCUGGGACAAACAGCCCCGUGCAUAUGGGAGGCAGAACUGUUGGCUUUGUGGGCUGAGCUUUGGGGGAAGGGGCUUCUUGUUUCCGUAUCUCUGCAAAGUACAUCUUCCUAAAGGACACCUCAUUCCAACCCCUGCAAUGGGCAAGGCUGCCUUCAGCUAGGUCUUGGAUCUUGGAUUUUACACCUCUUCGUGUGUCCUUCCAGCUGCUGCCACCAGAACCUGGCGAUGUCCUGAUGGCAGCAGCUGGGAGAAAGGCAGAAUCUGAGCAGCUGGGUGCAGGAGUUGGGCAGAACGCGCUCAGCUCUGAAGUCCGUGAGGGUUGGUUUGUUUGCCAAGUGUCUCCUCACUCUUCUGCAGCCCUGUCAAAGUGCUGCUGCUGCUGGCAGCGCUGGGGAUCCUAUUGCUGGGGGUGGUUGUUGUCCAUGUCCUCACUGCACACAGCAGAGAGCCAAAAGGAAUGGAACACCAAACGCCCAUGGAAGCAUCUGCAUCAGUCGUGCUCCAGGAGAGGAUGUUUGAGGCUGUCCCUGCAAGAGCACCCAGGAAGCGAGCAGAAUGUGUGUCCCCACGUCCUUCCCCCAACCUGACCCGUCCACGUUGCAGCAAACAGAUGCUUCCCUUGGUUUUACUGUGUACAUUGCCCAACAAAGCAUUGCUGAGCA